rnacentral:rRNA from 1 species
GUAGGGGGCGAGCGUUGUCCGGAUUUAUUGGGCGUAAAGAGCUCGUAGGCGGUUUGGUAAGUCGGGUGUGAAAUCUCCACGCUCAACGUGGAGGGGCCACUCGAUACUGCCAUGACUCGAGUCCGGUAGAGGAGUGUGGAAUUCCCGGUGUAGCGGUGAAAUGCGCAGAUAUCGGGAGGAACACCCGUAGCGAAGGCGGCACUCUGGGCCGGAACUGACGCUGAGGAGCGAAAGCGUGGGGAGCAAACAGGAUUAGAUACCCUGGUAGUCCACGCCGUAAACGUUGGGCACUAGGUGUGGGGAUCUAUCGACGGUUUCCGUGCCGAAGCUAACGCAUUAAGUGCCCCGCCUGGGGAGUACGGCCGCAAGGCUA